CAGUAGCGCGGUAAUACAGAGGGUGCGAGCGUUAAUCGGAUUUACUGGGCGUAAAGCGUGCGUAGGCGGCUUUUUAAGUCGGAUGUGAAAUCCCUGAGCUUAACUUAGGAAUUGCAUUCGAUACUGGGAAGCUAGAGUAUGGGAGAGGAUGGUAGAAUUCCAGGUGUAGCGGUGAAAUGCGUAGAGAUCUGGAGGAAUACCGAUGGCGAAGGCAGCCAUCUGGCCUAAUACUGACGCUGAGGUACGAAAGCAUGGGGAGCAAACAGGAUUAGAUACCCCGGUAGUCCCUGUCUCUUAUACA
rnacentral:rRNA from 1 species